UAAACUAGGAGCUCCCUUGCAGAGUUUA
rnacentral:piRNA from 1 species